AUUGAACGCUGGCGGCAUGCCUUACACAUGCAAGUCGAACGGUAACAGGGUAAGCUGACGUGUGGCGAACGGGAGAGUAAUGUAUGGGAACGUUCCCAGUCGUGGGGGAUAACUGCGCGAAAGAGCGGCUAAUACCGCAUACUACCACAGGGUGAGAGCGGGGGAUCGCAAGGCCUCGCGGGAUUGGCGCGCCCGAUGUCGGAUUAGGUAGUUGGUGGGGUAAAGGCCCACCAAGCCGACGAUCCGUAGCGGGGCUGAGAGGACGACCAGCCACACUGGGACUGAGACACGGCCCAGACUCCUACGGGAGGCAGCAGUGGGGAAUUUUGGACAAUGGGCGCAAGCCUGAUCCAGCCAUGCCGCGUGCGUGAAGAAGGCCUUCGGGUUGUAAACCGCUUUUGUCAGGGAAGAAAAGGUUCUGGCUAAUACCUGGGGCUCAUGACGGUACCUGAAGAAUAAGCACCGGCUAACUACGUG
rnacentral:rRNA from 1 species